rnacentral:lncRNA from 1 species
CUGAAGUGAGAAUUUUUCAGUUUUUUUUUUUCAGGGAGAAGGCAGUUUAGAGAGAAGCAGACCAUUUGUAAAUAGUAUUUCUGUCUACUUGAAAGCCUUUCAUAAGUGUCAAAUCAAGACCGAAGUCUUCUUCACUAGUAGAAAAAGACAGAAAUGGUGUAACACAGCAAGCCUUCAUCUAGAGGAGCAGCGUGAAUCAGGUGGUCACUGAGAGGUUGCUUCAAGAUCUGGGAUCAACACCAGGAGAGAAGAGGCUCUUGACCAUCUACAAAUAAAGCGGCUUUGCACAGGAAU